UUAAUAUUUUUUUAUAUUCUAUAUACUAAACUUCAUUAGUUAGACAAUAAAGAAGUGAAUUUUUUAUGGAAUAAUUAUAAAUAAUACGGUAUAAUGCUGAUCAAAAAAUAAUUCAAUUCCUCAUUUUUAUCAUUCAACAUUUAACUUGCCAGCUAUACAAUGCCAAAAAAUCUAGUGAUGUAGAUGAUGGAAGGUUCCAGCUAUUCGUUAGCAACUAUAAAUAUUCAGACAUCAAUGAAAAUUAUAGAAAAAAAAAUCAAAAAUUUGAGGCAAGCUCAAUACCACCGCAUAAGAGUGAGCUUUAUCAACAACGUUUGAGGGCCCACUAUAUUUCUUCUAUUUGGAGAAAUGCUUACAAAAAGCAACUCACAACUUUAGACCCAUUGGAGUAUGGUUGGAUUGAGCAGGACAACAUAUAUGCCUUCAAAGGGUUCGAAGGUGACCAACUUCCAUAUUUUGUGAGUGACUUAAUCACCAAUGUUCCUGUAUUCGAUUCAAUGGUUGAUGAAGACGAGUCGCCUAACGAUAAAGAUGACUCCGAUGAUGAUGAUGAUGAAUGAAGAUUGAUAUAUAUAUAAUAUGUAAUGCAUGCAUGAUAUAUUUUUUUAACUGAUUUAACACUUUUAAAUUUUGUCUUGACGAAAUAAAAAUGAGGAAUUGAA